AAUGCCCCAUCUUCAUGCAACAUAAAAGUCAACCUUGAUCAUGAAGCUCCUCCUUCCAUAUUUCACCUGCUGAGUUCAAGAAGGUUACAGAGGUCCACUGAAGUGCCUUGGAAUGCACAGCUUUGUAUGAUACAUGGACAUCAUUUCCACUGAAAAAGGCAGCUAAGGUGGGACGUAUUGAAUGGAUCUUCCCCUUUUUCAAAUGAAUAACCAAUAGCGUUUAGUUUACCUCACAGACUGCAAUCGUAUUGACAGCACCAUGGAGGCGAAUCCGAGCAUUGAUGAUACAUUGGAUUCAAUAGUAGAAGUGUGAAUAAAUUCUAGCCAUUUCAUUCCUAGUCAAUGUACAGUUGGGAAUUAAAAAAAGAAAGAAUAAAACUCGAGCAAACCAACUCACAUCUCUAACCAGUGGUGUAAUUUUGUUUUUAAAGUAGGUGGGACAAAUGUGUGGGAAGGAGGAGGUUGCUAUAGAAUGCUAAGAUAUACUGUAUAUGUGUACAA